UAUCUUUAAGAAAAUUUCUUUACAUUUUCAGUGUAAUAUUUUGUUUUAUAAACUAUAAAGAC
rnacentral:tRNA from 1 species